UACAGAGGGGGCAAGCGUUGUUCGGAAUUACUGGGCGUAAAGGGUGCGUAGGCGGCCAUGUAAGUGAGGUGUGAAAUCCCUCGGCUCAACCGAGGAACUGCGCUUCAUACUGCAUGGCUUGAGGGAGACAGGGGUAAGCGGAACUGAUGGUGGAGCGGUGAAAUGCGUUGAUAUCAUCAGGAACACCGGUGGCGAAAGCGGCUUACUGGGUCUCUUCUGACGCUGAGGUACGAAAGCUAGGGUAGCGAACGGG
rnacentral:rRNA from 1 species